rnacentral:pre_miRNA from 1 species
UCUUAAGGAUGAGCUAAGAAAGCAGUUUCUUGAGAUGAAAUCUACUCCCGCUGAAGAUGUUGUGAA